rnacentral:rRNA from 1 species
CGAAUGCUGACAUAAGUAACGAUAAAGCGGGUGAAAAGCCCGCUCGCCGGAAGACCAAGGGUUCCUGUCCAACGUUAAUCGGGGCAGGGUGAGUCGACCCCUAAGGCGAGGCCGAAAGGCGUAGUCGAUGGGAAACAGGUUAAUAUUCCUGUACUUGGUGUUACUGCGAAGGGGGGACGGAGAAGGCUAUGUUGGCCGGGCGACGGUUGUCCCGGUUUAAGCGUGUAGGCUGGUUUUCCAGGCAAAUCCGGAAAAUCAAGGCUGAGGCGUGAUGACGAGGCACUACGGUGCUGAAGCAACAAAUGCCCUGCUUCCAGGAAAAGCCUCUAAGCAUCAGGUAACAUCAAAUCGUACCCCAAACCGACACAGGUGGUCAGGUAGAGAAUACCAAGGCGCUUGAGAGAACUCGGGUGAAGGAACUAGGCAAAAUGGUGCCGUAACUUCGGGAGAAGGCACGCUGAUAUGUAGGUGAAGUCCCUCGCGGAUGGAGCUGAAAUCAGUCGAAGAUACCAGCUGGCUGCAACUGUUUAUUAAAAACACAGCACUGUGCAAACACGAAAGUGGACGUAUACGGUGUGACGCCUGCCCGGUGCCGGAAGGUUAAUUGAUGGGGUUAGCGCAAGCGAAGCUCUUGAUCGAAGCCCCGGUAAACGGCGGCCGUAACUAUAACGGUCCUAAGGUAGCGAAAUUCCUUGUCGGGUAAGUUCCGACCUGCACGAAUGGCGUAAUGAUGGCCAGGCUGUCUCCACCCGAGACUCAGUGAAAUUGAACUCGCUGUGAAGAUGCAGUGUACCCGCGGCAAGACGGAAAGACCCCGUGAACCUUUACUAUAGCUUGACACUGAACAUUGAGCCUUGAUGUGUAGGAUAGGUGGGAGGCUUUGAAGUGUGGACGCCAGUCUGCAUGGAGCCGACCUUGAAAUACCACCCUUUAAUGUUUGAUGUUCUAACGUGGACCCGUAAUCCGGGUUGCGGACAGUGUCUGGUGGGUAGUUUGACUGGGGCGGUCUCCUCCUAAAGAGUAACGGAGGAGCACGAAGGUUGGCUAAUCCUGGUCGGACAUCAGGAGGUUAGUGCAAUGGCAUAAGCCAGCUUGACUGCGAGCGUGACGGCGCGAGCAGGUGCGAAAGCAGGUCAUAGUGAUCCGGUGGUUCUGAAUGGAAGGGCCAUCGCUCAACGGAUAAAAGGUACUCCGGGGAUAACAGGCUGAUACCGCCCAAGAGUUCAUAUCGACGGCGGUGUUUGGCACCUCGAUGUCGGCUCAUCACAUCCUGGGGCUGAAGUAGGUCCCAAGGGUAUGGCUGUUCGCCAUUUAAAGUGGUACGCGAGCUGGGUUUAGAACGUCGUGAGACAGUUCGGUCCCUAUCUGCCGUGGGCGCUGGAGAACUGAGGGGGGCUGCUCCUAGUACGAGAGGACCGGAGUGGACGCAUCACUGGUGUUCGGGUUGUCAUGCCAAUGGCACUGCCCGGUAGCUAAAUGCGGAAGAGAUAAGUGCUGAAAGCAUCUAAGCACGAAACUUGCCCCGAGAUGAGUUCUCCCUGACUCCUUGAGAGUCCUGAAGGAACGUUGAAGACGACGACGUUGAUAGGCCGGAUGUGUAAGCGCAGCGAUGCGUUGAGCUAACCGGUACUAAUGAACCGUGAGGCUUAACCUUACAACGCCGAAGCUGUU